CUGAAAGCACUUCGUGAGACCGUGGUUUACACUGAGUGUUUAUGGGUGGUGGUGCAGAGACCACAGUGCUAGAGGACUGGCUAGUGCCAAGAAAUGAGCUUUGGGAAGUAGCCAAAGCCUUUGUAUUAAAAGUUUGAACUUUGUCCAGAAAGCAAUGAGGGAACCAGUGAAAGGUUUUAAGUGGGACAAGGAGGCAAAAAGGUUUGCUCUUCAGAAGAAAAAUCUAUAUACUGUGUUCAGAAAUUGGAGGGGGCAGGACUGAAGUCAGGGAAACCAGCUAGGAGGUUGUUGCCAAUAAAACAUGAUGGCAUUCAAAGGGGAAUGGAAGGAAGGCACAGAUUUAAAAGCUACUUAAGAAACUGAAUCGACAGGGUUUUUAGCUUAUUAGAUCUGUGGGGUAAGGGAGAAAGGGAGAAGGUCACAUCUGACAAGUUUAGGGCCAGAGCAGAGGUCAGCAGAGAUGAGUAGGGAGUAGGAGAGGUUAGUGACAUCACUGAGAUGGGUGACACAAGAGGGGAACAGGUUCUGGGGAGAGAAGAGGAGCCCUGUUUUGAACUUACUUAAUUUGAGGCCCUUGUAGAAAAUCCGUUAGUUAAAUAGGUAAACCUGGGGUUUGAAGACUGACUUGAUCUAAAGAUAUAAAAGCUCCAUUAUAGCACAAUCUUGUUACUGAACCAAACUGGAACCCUUUUCUUCAUACAUUGGGGCCCUUUUAUCAUUAAUGUUUAGUUAUUAAUAUUUUAGGUGGGAGAGCUAUGAAAACUUACUGUACCCAGGAAUGGGUUACCAGUGAAGGCCAGUAGUGUCCCAGUGGGAAAUCCACACUCAAUAACAUUGCAUGUAGAGAGGUCCCUCCACCAAUGGAGUGGAUCACAAGAUCUUUUUGGAAAACGCAACCUAUGGGGGUAAAUCUCAGUUUAAUUCCAGGAGAGCUUGAUUCCCAACUAUUACACUGUUCAAAUUCACCAAAGAGGACAAGGGAGAAGACCAUAUGAAGACGAGGCAGAGACUGGAGUGAUGCUGCCAGAAGCCAAGGAGUGCCUGGAGCCCCCAGAAGCAGGAAGAAGCAAAAGGAAGGAUUCUCCCUCUAGAACCGUCACAGAGAGCACAGCCCCACGGACACUUAUUUUGGACCUCUAGGCUUCCAGAACUGAGAGAGAAUAAAUUUCUGUUGUUCUAAGCCACGCAGUUUGUGGUACUUUGUCAUAGUAUUCUUUGGAAAGAAAUACAACGAUUUUUCUGCAAACAAGAGCUCAAGAGCAUAAACAGUAGUUAAGAAAAAAAGAAAGAAUGAAAGGAAGAAAGAAAUUUUAAAACCUGUUGAGUAGAGCUUCUAUUCUCCAAAUAUUAAAACAAAGGGCAAACAAGAACACCAUAUCCCAUUGGAAAUCGCUCAGUCAGUAGGGAGAAAAACUCUGUUAAUUUGUCAUUUAUGUGGUUGUUAUUUUUGUAAUUUAGUAUUAACGAAAUAUGCUAAAUAUACGAAGGGCUGCAAAAGACAGGAUAGGUGAUAGAGAAAGGAGCUGUUACAACUCUUCUUUGCCAGAAUCAAAACAGCCAGAUAAUAGUUGAAAGAGGUGGAGUAAUUAAAGUAUUUCUCUCAGAGGGAAUCAAGGAAGGCUUCACAGAGGAGGUGACAUCUAAGCUGGAUCUUGAAGCAUGAGUAGGAGUUUCCCAGGCAGACACUAAUGUGGAGUCAGGACAGUUGGUAUUUCACAGAAAACACAGCAUGUGCAAAGAAAGGAAUGUCGCCCGCCAUUCCAGUUCUAUAAGGAUCAAGCCAUCAGCCCUGUCGCUGCAGUCGCUCAGGAUAACGCACCCUGAGGGGAAUUCAGCGUGGAAGAAAACAGGAAGCAUUCUCUUCUUUGGAUAUACUGGCCUGUGAUAGUUAGGAUGCAUCUCGACGGAAAAAUUUCAAUGACCCCAAGAUUCUUGCAUCUUCUCAUACAUAGAAGAGCACUCAUAUCAUUAACUUGAGAUGUCUGUUCUUUGUGAGCAGCAGUACUCU